ensembl:snRNA U2 U2 spliceosomal RNA
AUCGCUUCUCGGCCUUUUGGCUAAGAUCAAGUGUAGUAUCUGUUCUUAUCAGAAAAAAGUAUUCAUUUGCUAAAUUGGAAACAUUUCUUUAUCAUUCAUUGAAUUUUUUAAAUAUUUAUUUAUUUUAUUUGAUAGGCAGUGUUAACAGAGAGGCAGAGGCAGAAAAAGAGAUCUUCCAUCCUCUGGUUCACUCUCUAAUUGAC